GAUGAACGCUAGCUACAGGCUUAACACAUGCUAGUCGAGGGACCGGCGCACGGGUGAGUAACGCGUAUCCAACCUGCCCAUCACUUGGGAAUAACCUUGCGAAAGUAAGACUAAUGCCCAAUGGUGAUGGAUGGGGAUGCGUCUGAUUAGCUUGUUGGCGGGGUAACGGCCCACCAAGGCGACGAUCAGUAGGGGUUCUGAGAGGAAGGUCCCCCACAUUGGAACUGAGACACGGUCCAAACUCCUACGGGAGGCAGCAGUGAGGAAUAUUGGUCAAUGGGCGAGAGCCUGAACCAGCCAAGUAGCGUGCAGGAUGACGGCCUAUGGGUUGUAAACUGCUUUUAUAGGGGAAUAUGUACCCUAUGAAUAAGGACCGGCUAAUUCCGUGCCAGCAGCCGCGGUAAUACGGAAGGUCCGGGCGUUAUCCGGAUUUAUUGGGUUUAAAGGGAGCGUAGGCCGGAGAUUAAGCGUGUUGUGAAAUGUAGAUGCUCAACAUCUGAACUGCAGCGCGAACUGGUUUCCUUGAGUACGCAUAAAGUGGGCGGAAUUCGUGGUGUAGCGGUGAAAUGCCUAGAUAUCACGAAGAACU
rnacentral:rRNA from 1 species